rnacentral:rRNA from 1 species
UACGGGGGGGGCAAGCGUUGUUCGGAAUUACUGGGCGUAAAGGGCUCGUAGGCGGCCAACUAAGUCAGACGUGAAAUCCCUCGGCUUAACCGGGGAACUGCGUCUGAUACUGGAUGGCUUGAGUUUGGGAGAGGGAUGCGGAAUUCCAGGUGUAGCGGUGAAAUGCGUAGAUAUCUGGAGGAACACCGGUGGCGAAGGCGGCAUCCUGGCCUGUUCUUGACGCUGAGGCGCGAAAGCUAGGGGAGCAAACGGG